rnacentral:rRNA from 1 species
AAGCACCUUACCUGAUUCUUCGGAUGAAGGUCUGGUGACUGAGUGGCGGACGGGUGAGUAACGCGUGGGUAACCUGCCCUGUACAGGGGGAUAACAGUUGGAAACGGCUGCUAAUACCGCAUAAGCGCACGAGAGGACAUCCUCUUGUGUGAAAAACUCCGGUGGUACAGGAUGGGCCCGCGUCUGAUUAGCUGGUUGGCAGGGUAACGGCCUACCAAGGCGACGAUCAGUAGCCGGUCUGAGAGGAUGAACGGCCACAUUGGAACUGAGACACGGUCCAAACUCCUACGGGAGGCAGCAGUGGGGAAUAUUGCACAAUGGGGGAAACCCUGAUGCAGCAACGCCGCGUGAGUGAAGAAGUAUUUCGGUAUGUAAAGCUCUAUCAGCAGGGAAGAUAAUGACGGUACCUGACUAAGAAGCUCCGGCUAAAUACGUGCCAGCAGCCGCGGUAAUACGUAUGGAGCAAGCGUUAUCCGGAUUUACUGGGUGUAAAGGGUGCGUAGGUGGCAGUGCAAGUCAGAUGUGAAAGGCCGGGGCUCAACCCCGGAGCUGCAUUUGAAACUGCAUAGCUAGAGUACAGGAGAGGCAGGCGGAAUUCCUAGUGUAGCGGUGAAAUGCGUAGAUAUUAGGAGGAACACCAGUGGCGAAGGCGGCCUGCUGGACUGUUACUGACACUGGGGCACGAAAGCGUGGGGAGCAAACAGG